CUCAGCUGCAGGAAGGAGGCUUUGUUCCGUGUCCCCGGCAGUCUCAUCCUCUUAGCUGCUGCUGGUUUGAGGAGGGUUCUGUGCGGGUCUAGACGCCACCGCCUGAACAAGGUGCUUUCUAGAGGGGGCAAGUAAGCGAGCACCACUCGGUGUUUGCUCCGCAAAUGCCACCUGCUGGCCCGAACUGGGUUGGGCACUGGAGUUUCACGAGAGUGCUGAGGCGCCGGUCCCGCCAGGGAACAGGGCAUGCAUGCCUGCUCGUUAACCACUCAAUUCUGUCUUGGGAGCUGACCCAGCACAGCAAGCCAAGAAGAGGGACAGAAAGGAACAAAGCAGUCUUCAUUCCAGGGGACAUGAUUGUCCACACAGAUAAUCCAAGAGGAUCAAUGGCAGACUCUUAGAGCAAAUGCAAGAGAAAAUGUAGUCAUGGCCUCCUCGUUUCCCCUCAGAGCUGCAUGUGAGCCCUCCUUUCCAUCCCUUUCAUGGAUCC